rnacentral:rRNA from 1 species
CGGACGGGUGAGUAACGCGUGAGAAUCUGCCCUCAGGAGGGGGAUAACGGUUGGAAACGACCGCUAAUACCCCAUAUGCCUACUGGUGAAAUGAAUUUCGCCUGAGGAUGAGCUCGCGUCUGAUUAGCUAGUUGGUGUGGUAAUGGCUCACCAAGGCUUCGAUCAGUAGCUGGUCUGAGAGGAUGAUCAGCCACACUGGGACUGAGACACGGCCCAGACUCCUACGGGAGGCAGCAGUGGGGAAUUUUCCGCAAUGGGCGAAAGCCUGACGGAGCAACGCCGCGUGAGGGACGAAGGCCUCUGGGCUGUAAACCUCUUUUCUCAAGGAAGAAGAUAUGACGGUACUUGAGGAAUAAGCCACGGCUAAUUCCGUGCCAGCAGCCGCGGUAAUACGGGAGUGGCAAGCGUUAUCCGGAAUUAUUGGGCGUAAAGCGUCCGCAGGCGGCUUUUCAAGUCUGCUGUUAAAGCGUGGAGCUUAUCUCCAUUAUGGCAGUGGAAACUGAAAGGCUUGAGUAUGGUAGGGGCAGAGGGAAUUCCCGGUGUAGCGGUGAAAUGCGUAGAUAUCGGGAAGAACACCAGUGGCGAAGGCGCUCUGCUGGGCCAUUACUGACGCUCAUGGACGAAAGCCAGGGGAGCGAAAGGGAUUAGAUACCCCAGUAGUC